rnacentral:lncRNA from 1 species
AAAUGCCAAAGUUUCCAUUGGAAAACCUGCACGUGUCGGGGACCACCAAACAAUUCUUGCAAACCCAGACCAUCUGCGUCCAGGGUCGGGUGAUGGGGAGGAACUGCGAGGAUUAGUUGCCGUUGAAGGGGGCUCCGCCAAUGAAAUCUUCUCUGCGCUCUGAUUUGGCGGUUCUUCGGUGCAAAUAUGACAGCUUUCUCUCUCAGCUCUUUUCUGCAUCUCUCCAUGUCCGACCCCGGAGCUCAGUUCUCGGUCUGCAAUUUCUACACCACAACCUUUGCAAUCACCACCACCACCACCACCACCACCCCUAGGUCCCAUGUCAGCAGGUGCCAGGUUGCUACAAAGGUGACAGGGCACAUUGGGAAGAAGGCUUGUUGAUUGCAGAAGAUACUUAUGCCCCGUAUUUCCAGGUGGGGAAAUGUUAGAAUAAAUGCAAUGUACUUUGUACUAAAUAUAUAGUCAUGGAGAAUUGUUCAGAUUGUUUAUUCCUUUCUUUGAUGCUAACUAAUGUAUUAGAAAGACACAGAAAUUUAUCUGUCUUUGCUGUUUUGUUUUUUCUUCUUCCCACACAGGUCAACGCCUGUGUGUUCCAUCAGUUAAUGGGGAGUAGUAGUUAAGAGAGUAUACUAGUGAGGCUUUGGUGAGACGGGAUUUUGCUGUCUAUCGAGGAAAAUAAAAGAUGUGAACUUCC